GAAGAGGGUGCGGGAUGCCCGUGGCCCCCGAUCUCGGUGUCCUAGUGCUGGGUUGUGCCAUCCUCUGCAACCCCAAUUGUCCCGGUCCAAGUCUUAGGAAUGAAGAGUCCAGGUUGGAAGCGAUUCAAGCCCCGAUUCCGUCCUCUUUCCCUACCAAGGAUGGCUUCAGGCCCCCGAAGUUGGUGGGUUUGGACUUCUCUUUUUUUUGCCUUGAGAACCUGUGUGUUAGUGCUCACUGGCCUGCAAAGGAAUCUGUACAGAGCGCCAUGAACUAGAGGAUGGAGAAUGAGUGCUUGGAGAUGCCUGAGGUACGGUCCUUACCCGCGUGGCAUGUGGAGGCUGGUAACGCUCUGUCCCAGUUUCUAGGAGCCCAGUGAGGUGAGAAAACAGGGUUGAAAACUUCACGGAGGAUUCAUCAUUUCUGCCCUGAAUUGGAAUUAAUUCCUUACUGACUUAUUACUGUAUUGAAAGUGUUUUAAUUAAUCAGGGUAUUUGUUUAGGUAAGACCUUUGUUUUGGUAAGGUUUUAUAAGAGCUUCUGAAUGACCAUAUACUGCUCUUCUGGUAUAUGUGAGCUUCAAUAUUUUUAAAUUCACAGGAUGGACUAUUUUACAACUUAGUAAAGUUAUAUCAUCUUUAUGGUGCCAGAGAAUAUGCUCUCAAUUGUUAGCAUGAAUCACAGUAUUACACCAGGCACUUGCAAAUUAUUUUCAUUUGUCCUGCAUUAAUCAUUUUUCAAAAGCAGUUUCUUCACUAGCCUGUGCAUCCACUGUCAUAAAUCUUCCUAAACAAGUAAUGUUGUUUUUGGCAAAUGGCUAUUUCAUACAAGGCAGCAUCUGUGUUAGAACAGGAUUUUUGUUCUAAUUAUUGAAUUUGUUUUUUUAAAAAGCAAAACUUGAAUCAAUACAGAAAAACUUCAAGAAGUCAAAGGUGAUCUGAAUAAAAAUUUAUUUAAACUCCUG
rnacentral:lncRNA from 1 species